rnacentral:rRNA from 1 species
UACAGAGGUCUCAAGCGUUUGUUCGGAUUCAUUGGGCGUAAAGGGUGUGUAGGUGGCGCCGUAAGUCGGGUGGUGAAAUUUCGGAGCUUAACUCCGAAACUGCAUUCGAUACUGCGGUGCUUGAGGACUGGAGAGGAGACUGGAAUUCAUGGUGUAGCAGUGAAAUGCGUAGAGAUCAUGAGGAAGACCAGUGGCGAAGGCGGGUCUCGUGGACAGUUCCUGACGCUGAGGCACGAAGGUCAGGGGAGCAAACGGG